AUAGAUAGAGAUAUACAGUAUUAUGUAUGUAUGUAUGUAUGUAUAUGUGUAUUGGGUUGGAAAUUAAUUAAGCACCGCUAAACCAGUUUGUUCGUUGCUCAACUUUAUUUGAUUUUGUUUCUGUGGGAUGGCACAUUAAUGCUCUCCUCCUCCUCCACCUCCAUCUCCACCUCCACCAUCCUCUACCCUCAUUCAUUCAUUCAUCAUAUAUUCCUCUCCAUUCUCAUGAACACCACCGCAUCUACCUCUACUUGUACCUCUACCUCGCAAUUCCCGAAUUAAUUCACUGACGAAGCAAGGAAUUCAGUUUCGGAAACCCUAGCUAGGUACGAGAUGAGCCAUCAGUCGCCACCGGCAGCGGGCAAUGGCGGCGAGGAGACGGAGAAGGAGAAAGACAAGGAGAAGACUAUGGCGGCGAAGAAGGUGUCGCUGGGGAAGCUAUUCUCCUUCGCCGACGGAUACGAUUAUUUGCUCAUGUUUGUCGGUUCCAUCGGCGCCUGCGUGCAUGGCGCCUCUGUCCCCGUUUUCUUCAUCUUCUUCGGGAAGAUGAUUAACGUCAUCGGCUUGGCUUAUCUCUUCCCCAAAUUAGCUUCGCAUCGAAUCGCCAUGUAUUCUUUGGAUUUCGUGUACCUAAGCAUAGUGAUUAUGUUCUCAUCAUGGACAGAGGUGGCAUGCUGGAUGUAUACCGGGGAGAGACAGGCAGCAAAAAUGAGAAUGGCUUAUCUGAGAUCAAUGCUAAAUCAAGACAUCUCCAUUUUCGACACUGAAGCAUCAACUGGGGAGGUCAUCUCUGCCAUUACCAGUGACAUUAUUGUAGUCCAGGACGCUCUUUCUGAAAAGGUGGGGAAUUUCCUGCACUACAUCAGCCGUUUCUUGUCAGGGUUCGUAAUAGGGUUCAUCAGGGUUUGGCAAAUCAGCUUGGUGACGCUGUCCAUCGUGCCCAUGAUUGCGAUCGCCGGCGGCAUCUACGCUUACGUCGCCACCGGCCUCAUCGCCAGGGUCCGCAAGGCGUACGUCAACGCCGGAGAAAUCGCCGAAGAGGUGAUCGGAAAUGUGCGGACAGUGCAAGCAUUCGCCGGAGAAGAGAAAGCAGUCAGCAUGUACAAAACAUCUCUGUUGAGCACUUACAAGUACGGCCGGAAAGCCGGCCUGGCCAAAGGCCUCGGCCUCGGGACCCUCCAUUGCGUGCUCUUCUUGUCGUGGGCGUUGCUUGUCUGGUUCACCAGCAUCGUUGUCCACAAGAAUAUUGCUAAUGGCGGAGAGUCUUUCACCACCAUGCUCAAUGUCGUCAUCUCCGGCCUGUCUCUCGGACAAGCAGCUCCUGAUGUUUCAGCAUUCAUUCGAGCGAAAGCGGCAGCGUAUCCCAUCUUCGAGAUGAUCGAAAGGAACACUCUCAGCAAAACCAGUUCUCAGACAGGGAGGAAGCUGAGCAAAGUAGAUGGCCACAUUCAAUUCAAGAACGUGUCUUUCAGCUACCCUUCCCGCCCUGAUGUCCUGAUUUUCGACAAGCUCUGCUUGGACAUCCCACCUGGAAAGAUCGUAGCCCUUGUCGGAGGUAGCGGCUCCGGGAAGAGCACGGUUAUAUCGUUGAUAGAACGCUUCUACGAGCCGCGAUCAGGGCACAUAAAAUUGGACAGGAAUGAUAUCAGGGAGCUGGACCUGAAAUGGCUCAGGCAUCAAAUCGGGCUUGUGAAUCAAGAGCCCGCCCUGUUCGCCACCACCAUUAGAGACAACAUUCUCUACGGCAAACACGACGCCACCAAUGAGGAAAUCAUCCGCGCAGCAAAGCUUUCGGAGGCAAUCAACUUCAUCAAUAACCUCCCCGAGCGAUUCGAUACUCAGGUAGGCGAGAGAGGGAUACAGCUAUCGGGCGGACAGAAGCAGAGGAUCGCAAUAUCCCGAGCCAUCGUGAAGAAUCCUUCCAUCUUAUUGUUGGAUGAGGCGACGAGCGCCCUCGAUGCAGAGUCUGAGAAGAGCGUGCAAGAGGCUCUCGACCGCGUGAUGGUGGGGCGAACCACGGUUGUCGUGGCUCAUCGCCUUUCGACAAUCAGAAACGCCGACGUGAUAGCUGUCGUGCAAAAUGGCACCAUUGUCGAAUCCGGCAGCCAUGAUGAGCUCAUGUCGAAGCCCCACAGCGCCUAUGCUUCGCUUGUUCAGCUACAAGAGGCAGCUUCGUUGCAUCAAAUGUCGCCCCACGGUCCUACGAUGGGGCGACCUCUUAGCAUUAGGUAUUCGCGGGAGGGCAGCAUUCGGUACUCGCGGGAGUUAUCCCGCACGACAAGAAGCCUCGGCGCAAGUUUUCGUUCAGAGAGAUCGUUGAGCAGAUUUGGUGGCGAAGGACCUGAGGUUGUAAAACCUGUUAACAUCUCCUCGGGUAGACUGUUCUCCAUGGUGCGGCCGGAUUGGUUUUAUGGUGUUUCCGGCACACUUUGCGCAUUCAUUGCCGGGGCACAAUUGCCUCUGUUUGCACUUGGUGUGACUCAGGCUCUCGUCUCCUACUACAUGGAUUGGGACACAACUCGCCGGGAAGUUAGAAAGAUCGCCUUCCUCUUCUGCGGUGGCGCUGUUAUAGCCGUGUUUGUAAACACAAUUACACACAUGAGCUUCGGGAUCAUGGGCGAGCGCCUCACCCUUCGUGUUAGGGAGAAGAUGUUCUCUGCUAUGCUGCGAAACGAGAUAGGAUGGUUCGAUGACAUGAACAACUCGAGUUCGAUGCUGGCAUCCAAGUUAGAAACCGAUGCUACUUUACUGCGGACUGUAGUUGUCGAUCGCUCGACCAUUUUGCUACAAAACAUCGGCUUGGUCGCCUCGUCCUUUGUCAUCGCCUUCAUCAUGAACUGGAGGCUUGCUCUAGUUGUCAUGGCGACUUAUCCAUUGAUCGUUAGUGGGCAUAUAAGCGAGAAACUUUUCAUGAAAGGCUACGGCGUCGACUUGGACAAAGCGUAUCUCAAAGCCAACAUGCUCGCUGGAGAGGCCGUGAGCAACAUCCGAACCGUAGCAGCAUUCUGCUCGGAGGAGAAAGUUCUCGAUCUUUAUUCGCAAGAACUCAUCGAACCAUCCAAAAGUUCGUUCAGGCGCGGGCAGGCUGCAGGGAUCUUUUACGGGGUCUCGCAGUUUUUCAUCUUCUCGUCCUACGCUCUCGCCUUAUGGUACGGUUCGAAGCUAAUGGAGAAGGGGCUCGGAAGCUUCAAAUCGGUGAUGAAAACGUUCAUGGUAAUGAUCGUGACGGCCUUAGGUAUGGGCGAGCUCCUCGCCAUGGCGCCGGAUCUCUUGAAGGGAACUCAUAUGGUGGCCUCUGUGUUCGAAGUGCUCGACCGGAAGACCGAGAUUCUGAACGAUGUCGGAGAAGAGGUGACGCAAGUAGACGGGACUAUCGAAUUCAAGGGCGUCGAAUUCAGCUACCCCUCAAGGCCAAACGUAUCAAUUUUCAAGGAUUUCAAUAUGCGAGUCCACGCCGGAAGAAGCAUGGCGCUUGUCGGGCAGAGUGGCUCCGGCAAAAGCUCUGUCAUCUCCCUCAUACUCCGAUUCUACGAUCCCAUCUCGGGGAAGAUAUUGAUCGACGGGAAAGACAUACGGAAGCUGAAGCUGAAGUCGCUCCGAAAGCACAUAGGCCUCGUGCAGCAGGAGCCGGCGCUCUUCGCGACGUCGAUCUACGAAAACAUCCUUUAUGGGAAGGACGGUGCGACGGAAUCCGAGAUCAUCGAGGCAGCGAAGCUGGCGAACGCGCAUAGCUUCAUUAGCUCCCUCCCGGAGGGAUACUCGACGAAAGUCGGGGAACGAGGAGUCCAGCUGUCGGGAGGGCAGAGGCAACGAGUAGCGAUCGCGCGCGCAAUUCUGAAAAACCCGUCGAUCUUGCUGCUGGACGAGGCGACAAGUGCACUGGACGUGGAGUCGGAGCGCAUAGUGCAGCAGGCGCUUGACAGGCUGAUGAAGAGCCGGACGACGGUGAUGGUGGCGCACCGGCUGUCGACGAUCAAGAACGCGGAUCAGAUAUCGGUGCUGCAGGAAGGGAAGAUCAUAGAACAGGGGACACAUUCGAGCUUGAUCGAGAACAAGGAAGGAGCUUAUUACAAGCUCAUUAAUCUGCAGAGGCAGCUGCAGCAGUGACAGACAUAAUAAUAAGUAUAGUAUAUGGUGUGUUGUGUUAUGUAUAUCAAAUGGUGAUCUCAAUGCUUACUUACUUAACUUUCUUUGGAUAUACAAAAGAUCUGGUGGUACAGUAACAGAAGCCACUCUGAUGAGUUGGGAUUGAUGAUGAUGAUGAUGUUGUUGUGUAAGAGAAGGAUGAAGAAGUUAAUAAGGGGGGUUUGUCGUUUGUGUGUAAGUAAGUACUAACUCAUUUUUACUGAUCAAGAAGAAGGAAUUAAAGGAUUGUGGUGGUGGUGAUGAUUUGGGUGUUCCUAAUUGUGGAUUAUUAUUGUUGUUAUUACGAAGAAGCAAUCUGGUGGGUAGGAAUCUGUUGAUAGAUAUGAUGGUUGAUGGAUAGUAUGAUGGUUGUAUCAGAUUCGAAGUGGUAAUGUCCUGAAACUGCUUUUUAUAUAUUUAUUGAUA